GCUGAGUAGCUUUCCACUGAAAAGAGAUGAUCUCUCAAGGAUGGAGGAGGAACUCUCUCAAGAUUUAGAAGCUGGGGGACCCGCUCUUGGGUAACCAGCACCCACCGAAGCCCUUCAUGGCUGUGUACAAGGCCUCAGCAUCCUGAUUUGCGUCAAACUCUGGGAAGUCGUGGACAGAGCCUCGGUACAUGGCACCCUGUGGAGAGAGAAGCAGAGGGGAGAGGGCAGCUUGGCCAAUGCUCAGUGCCCUUCAUCACUGGACACCACAAGGACAGGUCAAAACCCUGGCUGAGUGGCAGGCUGAACCCUGCUGAUCCGAGACGUUGCUGCGGGACCAAGCAUGCUCCUCGGGGGCAAGGAGAAGAAGCCCAGCAAGAGCUACUGUGAGGGUCUGUCUUGCAUCGUAAACGUUACUUUCUGCAAACUGUGACUAUCCCUGAUUCAUUGGGUGUCACAUCACAAGGACAGAUGAAGUGAAACUGGCUCUCAGUUUGGCCAUUGGGCUUUCUUGGCAUGCAAACGGAAGAAGCAGGAAUUCCCGGGUGUCUCCCUGAUGACAUCAUCUCAGCUUGGGUCUGCUGCAUUCACCCACCAUCUAUUCCAGCCAGCAAUGCUCUAUACCCUGAGUCCACAGCAGGACACAUUCAAAAUUGGACAGUCUAAUUCUCAUGGGUCCUAGUGCUAAAGCUACCCACGUGGAUUACAGUGAACAUCUGGAGGAGCGACGAUGUGCUGGACAAGAGGACAACCAAAGGCUGAAGCACGCAGGUUAGCUGUUUGAGCACUGGGGCUCUACCACAACAACCUACGCCACACAGCCUCAGGUUGGCUGCACAGCCACUAGCCCAGGAUUCCAGCUGAGGCUGGAACCAUCUGCCCUCCAAGACUCAGCCAGGAGUCCUGCCUCAAAGUUCCUGGUCACAGCAGGCUUCCAACAGCUGGAGAAAGACCCAAGGGCUUCAUUCUAUGGUCCAAGCUGGUCUGGAUUCCUGAAGAACAAAACUGCACAGAACAGAUCACCCUGUGAAAGAGGACAGUCGUUCCAUGAGGGGGUCUGAUACCCGGAGUCUGCUCGGCUGGAAGGGUUCCAUCAGUGACAACGACCGUGACUUUAAGAAGCAUCAAGACAGCAGCCUUGAGAAAGAGGAACCUGGGGCUCAGGUAGCCUCCGGAGUACCACACCCUUCUGAGGUUACCACAGCAGCACUAGCUCCUCUCAGUAGAGCACUCUACAGUUCU
rnacentral:lncRNA from 1 species